rnacentral:rRNA from 1 species
AGUGAACGCUGGCGGUAGGCCUAACACAUGCAAGUCGAACGGCAGCACAGUAAGAGCUUGCUCUUACGGGUGGCGAGUGGCGGACGGGUGAGGAAUACAUCGGAAUCUACUUUUUCGUGGGGGAUAACGUAGGGAAACUUACGCUAAUACCGCAUACGACCUACGGGUGAAAGCAGGGGAUCUUCGGACCUUGCGCGAUUGAAUGAGCCGAUGUCGGAUUAGCUAGUUGGCGGGGUAAAGGCCCACCAAGGCGACGAUCCGUAGCUGGUCUGAGAGGAUGAUCAGCCACACUGGAACUGAGACACGGUCCAGACUCCUACGGGAGGCAGCAGUGGGGAAUAUUGGACAAUGGGUGCAAGCCUGAUCCAGCCAUACCGCGUGGGUGAAGAAGGCCUUCGGGUUGUAAAGCCCUUUUGUUGGGAAAGAAAAGCAGCAGGUUAAGACCCCGCUGUUCUGACGGUACCCAAAGAAUAAGCACCGGCUAACUUCGU